UGAGGAAUUUUCUGCAAUGGGCGAAAGCCUGACAGAGCAAUACCGCGUGAGGGAAGAAGGCUUACUGAGUUGUAAACCUCUGUUACCUAGGGAGGAAGAUCUGACGUUACCUAGGAGACGAAGCACCGGCUAACCCCGUGCCAGCAGCCGCGGUAAUACGGGGGGUGCAAGCGUUGUUCGGAAUUACUGGGCGUAAAGCGCGUGUAGGUGGCGCAGCAAGUCUGGAGUGAAAGCCCUCGGCCUAACCGAGGAAGUGCUUUGGAAACUGCUGUGCUUGAGUCCUGGAGGGGCAGAUGGAAUUCCCAGUGUAGAGGUGAAAUUCGUAGAUAUUGGGAGGAACACCGGUGGCGAAGGCGGUCUGCUGGACAGAGACUGACACUGAGACGCGAAAGCGUGGGGA
rnacentral:rRNA from 1 species